UGAACGCUGGCGGCGUGCUUAACACAUGCAAGUCGAACGGUAACAGGAGAAGCUUGCUUCUUGCUGACGAGUGGCGCACGGGUGAGUAAUGCAUAGGUAACGUGCCCCUUAGUCUGGGAUAGCCACUGGAAACGGUGAAUAAUACCGGAUACUCCUUCUCACUUAAUGUGAGUCGGGAAAGUUUUUCGCUAAGGGAUCGGCCUAUGUCCUAUCAGGUAGUUGGUGAGGUAAGAGCUCACCAAGCCUAUGACGGGUAGCGGGUCUGAGAGGAUGAUCCGCCACACUGGUACUGAGACACGGACCAGACUCCUACGGGAGGCAGCAGUGGGGAAUAUUGCACAAUGGACGAAAGUCUGAUGCAGCAACGCCGCGUGGAGGAUGACACAUUUCGGUGCGUAAACUCCUUUUAUAUGAGAAGAUAAUGACGGUAUCAUAUGAAUAAGCACCGGCUAACUCC
rnacentral:rRNA from 1 species